rnacentral:rRNA from 1 species
UACGAGGGGGGCGAGCGUUGUUCGGAAUUAUUGGGCGUAAAGGGUGCGUAGGCGGUUUGGUAAGUCUCGUGUGAAAUCUCCGGGCUCAACUCGGAGCCUGCACGAGAAACUGCCGGGCUUGAGUGUGGGAGAGGUGAGUGGAAUUCCUGGUGUAGCGGUGAAAUGCGUAGAUAUCAGGAGGAACACCUGUGGCGAAGGCGGCGACCUGGGCCAAUACUGACGCUGAGGUGCGAAAGCGUGGGGAGCAAACAGG